GAAAUGAAUUCUCAGAAAAAUUCCAAUCAUCUAAAACGGUUUUGAAAGCAUCUAUAGUUGUUAAAAUGACUACGGCGUCAUUGCAAGGAUCUGUUAAGUUGAGAAAUGAGCAAUACAAUUUGUAAAUAACCUCAAGGAGUUGUUCUGAAGAAGAAUCUUCAAUCCAUUGCGAUAAAAAAAUGGCAAUUCUUCGUCGAUACACUCUAGAUAUCCCAAUAUCAUUAAUGGAAGCCAUGUUGGGAACUGCGGCUUCCUGUAGCCAUUUUGCAAAAGGAAAAAUACUCUUCAAUUGGGUAUAUCCAACUCCGAAAGAACUGAUCAAAGUGUCUUGUUGAACUGCUUGUGUUAACGUCUUUGGACACUCAAAAACGCUGUAAAUCAUAUCCUUGAACGGCGAAACGAUAAUAUCUCCAUAUGCAU